UGGAUAGUAGUAUAAAGAAAGAAGUUAAUUAUUUGGAAAUAUGAAUAAUAGAAUAAAGAAAAGAAUAUUGGUGAUUUUAUUCAGGUUUAAAUAUAAAGUAGAAAUGUGUAUUUAAUUUAAAAAAAUUACAAAAUGAAUGUUAGGUAUAACACAAUGUUUCUGUCUUAAUAAUAUAGAUGAAAUUGAUUAGAGAAAUGUUAAAGAUAAUUUCUUAAUUAGUGUGAGUGCAUACAUAUUAAUUUAAUAUAUAUAAUAAUAAUAUUUUAAUAAUUUUAAAUUGAAAAGGAAAUAAAUGUUUAAGUAAUUGCACCCCAUGACCAUAAAACAAAACGUUAUUAGGUGAAUGGUUAAGACACUUUUACACUUUCAUAAUUCCAUCCUUGCCCCUACACUAGAUCUGAGGCGAGUCUGACACACUGAGCUUCUCUGCAGCUCUACAGGAUAGAGUAGUUGUAAUUAUUACCCUACUGAACUCUACUACUUCACGCCAUCUCUUGACAUUUGAAACUAAAAAUAUUCAAUUUUGAAGUUAUUCUAGCUCACCUGAUAAUCUGAUCUCUCUCUAACUAAAUUUCGUCACUUAUCUUUUUCGAGAUCUAUACGUAUUAUCCUCUAAAAAUUCAGUUUGAGAUCCAACUCCCCAAAGGACACUCUUCUCCCUAUCAUCAGAUUUACCGUGUCUCGUUUAACAACAGAAGAAAAACCGUAGGCUCCGUAAAGUCCCACCUGGAGAAUAACCACCUCCUCGCCACCAUCAAAUACAAAGACCUCACCGUCAAGCAGUUCCAAGACCUUUAAAUCCGGUCAUAUUCCGGCCACACACACAAGCAUUAGAUUACCGUUUGUCUGUAUCCUCUCUUUCUCUCUCAGAUAUGGCCACCAAGAACGCGAGAGACAAAACCAACAACAACUGUGCUGAGAUUAACUCUCGUCAACAUCGCAUGGAUUCUUCUUCCUCCGCACCUCCGCCUGAGCUCAUGGGUCAAUCUCCUCCUCAAACCCUUGUGCUACCCAAUCUCCUCUCAUGCUUAUUCCUCAGGUUCUCUCUCCCAUAUUCACUUUGCUUAAAGUGAUGGCUGAAAAAGAGUUCUCUAAGAAGCAUCUUUACCUUAACGUUCUUUCAGCUGGGUUACCAUGUGAGUUGGUCUGUUUUACUUUGUUCCGAUUCAUAAUUUUUUUUACAAAGCAAGACUGUUUUGGUGUCCCUCAGUAUGUCUCACUUCACAAUCUUUCCCGUCAUUUUCUUGAUUCGAUUGGAGGGGUCUCAAGCUAGAUAGGACAGAUCAAACAGAGCUUAACUUUUUUUUUUUCCAAGAUUCAAGGCUUACGCAGAUGCUUCAAAACUUUGAGAAGGAUACACAAAGGGAAAAAACAUAAAAUUUGUGUUUCGGUGAUUGUGUAUGACAAAUGUAUCCCGUUAGCAUAUUUGAUAUCAUAUUCUAGCUAUGUAGUUGUUAUCUAGUUAUCAUUGAGUUUAUCCUUCUGUUUCCUAGAAUCGAGAUACUAUUGUUAAUAUCCGGUUUUAUGUUUAACAUAACUCAAAAAACUUAUAGUCUUAUGUUAUAGAUUAUCCAAAUAACAACCA